AUUGAACGCUGGCGGCAGGCCUAACACAUGCAAGUCGAACGAGUGGCGGACGGGUGAGUAAUGUGUGGGAGACUGCCCGAUGUGGGGGGAUAACUACUGGAGAAGGUGGCUAAUACCCCAUACGAUCGGAGGUGUCCCGAUGGGAUUAGCUCGUAGGUGGGGUAACGGCUCACCUAGGCGACGAUCCCUAGCUGGUCUGAGAGGAUGACCAGCCACACUGGAACUGAGACACGGUCCAGACUCCUACGGGAGGCAGUAGUGGGGAAUAUUGCACAAUGGGCGCAAGCCUGAUGCAGCCAUGCCGCGUGUAUGAAGAAGGCCUUCGGGUUGUAAAGUACUUUCAGCGAGGAGGCGUUACUCGCAGAAGAAGCACCGGCUAACUCCGUGCCAGCAGCCGCGGUAAUAC
rnacentral:rRNA from 1 species